GUGCCAGCAGCCGCGGUAAUACGAAGGGGGCUAGCGUUGCUCGGAAUGACUGGGCGUAAAGGGCGCGUAGGCGGAUGGCACAGUCAGAUGUGAAAUUCCCGGGCUUAACCUGGGGGCUGCAUUUGAUACGUGUUGUCUAGAGUGAGGAAGAGGGUUGUGGAAUUCCCAGUGUAGAGGUGAAAUUCGUAGAUAUUGGGAAGAACACCGGUGGCGAAGGCGGCAACCUGGUCCUUGACUGACGCUGAGGCGCGAAAGCGUGGGGAGCAAACAGGAUUAGAUACCCUGGUAGUCC
rnacentral:rRNA from 1 species